rnacentral:rRNA from 1 species
UACGUAGGGGGCAAGCGUUGUCCGGAAUCAUUGGGCGUAAAGCGCGCGUAGGCGGCCCGAUCAGUCCGCUGUAAAAGUCCAGGGCUCAACCCUGGAAAGCCGGUGGAUACUGUCGGGCUAGAGUCCGGAAGAGGCGAGUGGAAUUCCUGGUGUAGCGGUGAAAUGCGCAGAUAUCAGGAAGAACACCCGUGGCUAAGGCGGCUCUCUAGUACGGUACUGACGCUGAGACGCGAAAGCGUGGGGAGCGAACAGG